UACGGAGGGGGCAAGCGUUGUUCGGAAUUAUUGGGCGUAAAGGGCGCGUAGGCGGCCGGCCAAGUCGGGUGUGAAAUCCCUCGGCUCAACCGAGGAACUGCACUCGAUACUGGCUGGCUUGAGUCCGGGAGGGGAUGGUGGAAUUCCCAGUGUAGCGGUGAAAUGCGUAGAUAUCGGGAGGAACAUCCGUGGCGAAGGCGGCCACCUGGACCAGCACUGACACUGAGGCACGAAAGCGUGGGGAGCAAACAGG
rnacentral:rRNA from 1 species